AUGAGGUUUAUUUAUGUUCCAUGUCCACACAAUGCUGAAGUUAUAUGUGAAGAACUACAUGCAUGUCUUGUUAAGUGGCACCUUGAGAAGAAGAUAUCCACGGUGGCCUUGGACAAUUGUGCGUCAAAUGACAAGGCUAUCGAAAUUAUGCCAAAUAAGUUGGACACCUCUUCUCUUAUGAUGGACGGAUCUUUGUUGCAUAUGCAUUGUGCUGCUCAUAUAUUAAAUCAGAUUGUAAAAGAUGGAUUGGAUGUCAUGGAGAAAGGAACUAAGAGGGUACAAGAUAGUGUUGCCUUUUUGUCAGCCACACCUAAAAGACAUGAGAAGUUUGAAAAGAUGGCACGCCUUUUCAACAAUGAAUACAAGUGUAGAUUGGCUCUUGAUUGUAAAACUAGGUGGAAUUCUACCUACAUAAUGUUAAAAGGUGCAUUGCAAUACAAAGAUGUUCUUGAAAGACUUUAUAUACGUGAAAAGAAUUUUACUUGUCCAACCGAAGAAGAUUGGGUCUUUGCUAUGGAGGUUUGUGAUAGGCUGAAAGUGUUCUUUGAUGUCAAAGAGUUGUUGUCGGGCACUCCAUAUGUUACAGCUAGUCUUUUCUUUCCGCAAAUAUGUGGCAUUCGGUUGGCAAUUCGUAAAUGGGAAACUAGUAAACAUAGUGUCAUAAAAGCUAUGUCUAAGGAAAUGAAAGACAAGUUCGAGAAGUAUUGGACAGAUGUCCAUCGUCUUAUGGCUAUUGCCACCAUUGUUGAUCCACAUUGUAAGAUGCAUAUGUUGAAGGCUUCAUUUGGGUCAUCGUAUGGAACUGAACAUAUGCGUCCAUAG
rnacentral:rRNA from 1 species